GAUUGAACGCUGGCGGCAGGCCUAACACAUGCAAGUCGAGCGGAUGAAGGGAGCUUGCUCCUGGAUUCAGCGGCGGACGGGUGAGUAAUGCCUAGGAAUCUGCCUGGUAGUGGGGGAUAACGUCCGGAAACGGGCGCUAAUACCGCAUACGUCCUGAGGUAGAAAGUGGGGGAUCUUCGGACCUCACGCUAUCAGAUGAGCCUAGGUCGGAUUAGCUAGUUGGUGGGGUAAAGGCCUACCAAGGCGACGAUCCGUAACUGGUCUGAGAGGAUGAUCAGUCACACUGGAACUGAGACACGGUCCAGACUCCUACGGGAGGCAGCAGUGGGGAAUAUUGGACAAUGGGCGAAAGCCUGAUCCAGCCAUGCCGCGUGUGUGAAGAAGGUCUUCGGAUUGUAAAGCACUUUAAGUUGGGAGGAAGGGCAGUAAGUUAAUACCUUGCUGUUUUGACGUUACCAACAGAAUAAGCACCGGCUAACUUCGUG
rnacentral:rRNA from 1 species